UUUAUGGAGAGUUUGAUCCUGGCUCAGGAUGAACGCUGGCGGCGUGCCUAAUACAUGCAAGUCGAGCGAACGGACGAGAAGCUUGCUUCUCUGAUGUUAGCGGCGGACGGGUGAGUAACACGUGGAUAACCUACCUAUAAGACUGGGAUAACUUCGGGAAACCGGAGCUAAUACCGGAUAAUAUUUUGAACCGCAUGGUUCAAAAGUGAAAGACGGUCUUGCUGUCACUUAUAGAUGGAUCCGCGCUGCAUUAGCUAGUUGGUAAGGUAACGGCUUACCAAGGCAACGAUGCAUAGCCGACCUGAGAGGGUGAUCGGCCACACUGGAACUGAGACACGGUCCAGACUCCUACGGGAGGCAGCAGUAGGGAAUCUUCCGCAAUGGGCGAAAGCCUGACGGAGCAACGCCGCGUGAGUGAUGAAGGUCUUCGGAUCGUAAAACUCUGUUAUUAGGGAAGAACAUAUGUGUAAGUAACUGUGCACAUCUUGACGGUACCUAAUCAGAAAGCCACGGCUAACUACGUGCCAGCAGCCGCGGUAAUACGUAGGUGGCAAGCGUUAUCCGGAAUUAUUGGGCGUAAAGCGCGCGUAGGCGGUUUUUUAAGUCUGAUGUGAAAGCCCACGGCUCAACCGUGGAGGGUCAUUGGAAACUGGAAAACUUGAGUGCAGAAGAGGAAAGUGGAAUUCCAUGUGUAGCGGUGAAAUGCGCAGAGAUAUGGAGGAACACCAGUGGCGAAGGCGACUUUCUGGUCUGUAACUGACGCUGAUGUGCGAAAGCGUGGGGAUCAAACAGGAUUAGAUACCCUGGUAGUCCACGCCGUAAACGAUGAGUGCUAAGUGUUAGGGGGUUUCCGCCCCUUAGUGCUGCAGCUAACGCAUUAAGCACUCCGCCUGGGGAGUACGACCGCAAGGUUGAAACUCAAAGGAAUUGACGGGGACCCGCACAAGCGGUGGAGCAUGUGGUUUAAUUCGAAGCAACGCGAAGAACCUUACCAAAUCUUGACAUCCUUUGACAACUCUAGAGAUAGAGCUUUCCCCUUCGGGGGACAAAGUGACAGGUGGUGCAUGGUUGUCGUCAGCUCGUGUCGUGAGAUGUUGGGUUAAGUCCCGCAACGAGCGCAACCCUUAAGCUUAGUUGCCAUCAUUAAGUUGGGCACUCUAAGUUGACUGCCGGUGACAAACCGGAGGAAGGUGGGGAUGACGUCAAAUCAUCAUGCCCCUUAUGAUUUGGGCUACACACGUGCUACAAUGGACAAUACAAAGGGCAGCGAAACCGCGAGGUCAAGCAAAUCCCAUAAAGUUGUUCUCAGUUCGG
rnacentral:rRNA from 1 species